rfam:Corynebacterium casei LMG S-19264, complete genome.
CGGACUAUGGCGCAGCUUGGUAGCGCACUACACUGGGGGUGUAGGGGUCGCAGGUUCAAAUCCUGUUAGUCCGA